UUCCUUACCACCAAAACCUCCACCUGAUAAAAUGUUACAUGUACUUCAAUCAUCUUUUUGUGUAAGCUUUGAACUUCUUCAUAAUAAGUUUUAAAAAAAUUAAAACGGUUAAUUCCACGUUUAAGAGUGUAACACUUAUAUUGAAUGCAUCUUUAAAGCCAAACCAAACACAAGGACAGUUUGUCAUACCCAGUCUCUUCACUUUCACUGCG